rnacentral:rRNA from 1 species
UACGUAGGGUGCAAGCGUUGUCCGGAAUUAUUGGGCGUAAAGAGCUCGUAGGCGGUUUGUCGCGUCUGCUGUGAAAACUCAGGGCUUAACUCUGAGCCUGCAGUGGGUACGGGCAGACUAGAGUGUGGUAGGGGAGAUCGGAAUUCCUGGUGUAGCGGUGGAAUGCGCAGAUAUCAGGAGGAACACCGGUGGCGAAGGCGGAUCUCUGGGCCAUAACGGACGCUGAGGAGCGAAAGCAUGGGGAGCGAACAGG